UGGGCCCUGACUGUGCUUGUAUUGAAAGUCUGGUCACUGUGUGCUGAACUCUGUACCUGUACUGUUGUGAUAGUCUGACUGGUGUUGUCCUCUCCUGUACAUUGUUGUAAUACUGAACACUCCACCCUUAACUGUCACACAUACUGUCCAGUAUGCAGCCCUGUGUCCUCAUCUCCCACACCUGCUGCAGUAACACUCCAGCCUUUUCCUGCUCUCUCAGACCUUGACUUGUAGUUUUCGGACCUGUGUUGAACUGUACAUCUGUCCUCUGCAUUAAUCUUGACACACUGAGCUUUUACCUGUGUUGUGGCAGCACAGUGAUUGACUGGUGUAUCAGAUUUAUCAUAAUUUCCAGAUUACGGCUGGGGUCUGGUGUAAAGACUAAGUUCACCCCUGGGGCUCUCUGUACUCCAGCACAGAGCUAUGCCUGUUAUUUGCACAACUUGCAGGGGUCCUGGUGUCAUCUUGAUCAUGAAAAGCAACCUGACUGGAGAACAACCGUGUCAAGAGCAGAGCUGGUGGAGCUGUGAAUCAAGUCACUAGGGUGAGGUGGUGAAUAUUAACUCAGAGGCUGGCCACACCACAUCUCAUGAUUCUCACAGUCAGAGGGACAGUGUUCUCGCCUGUCACUGUACCCAAACCCCCACGCUGCUGGCUCAGCCAGAAAGGAAAGGGGCACCCUUAUUAAAGUCACAGCUUCUGUUUGAAAUCACUGCACCAAGAGGCGUCUGGCUCAGAGAUGGAGGGAGGUGAGAGGCACUUACAGCCUUUAGCCAGCAGAGGGCAGGGUGUCUCUAAGCAUCUACCUCCUCCCCCACCUUGAUUCUCCAGCAGAGUGAUCCCCUCCAGGCUGCACUACAUUUCCCAGCAGGCCAUGAGGGAAUGGUGGCCAACAGGCUGCCUCCCCUGGGUUACCGAUGCAGCUGUUAAUUCUAGUCUGUAGCCAGUGUGUAUAAUGAGGGGGGUGGAGUAGAGCUUAUGCAGAGGGCUGGGAGAACUGCAUCACCCACAAGGACCUGCUCCAUUCAGUCACCUGACCCCUGGGACAGAGAUGAUUGGUCAGAAGACAUUUGAAAAGCAGGCAGUGACAGAGGGCAGUAGUGCUGUUGGAGGAGUAGAGAUAGAGAAGAGCUCUUGCCUCCAACACAGAAACUGAUCUGGGACAGUUUGCAGGUCUGUUUCUGAGUGGUCCUGUUGUUCAGGUCGCUGCAGGGGAGGGGGGCUGGUGACCCCCUGCUGGGAUUCAUAUUGGGAGAAUGAGGGGACAAGUAACAGCUGAUCCUAAUGACUGCUCUCACCUCCUGGCCAGGGGAGUCUCUCACACAGAAGCUAAACCCAGUAGUUUUUCAUCUUUUUCAGCUUAGAGGGGGACGAGAGAUCUGUCCUGACCCAGUGUGCAGUUCACAGUCCCCAUCCUCCUCCUACUGCAGCUGAGGCACAGCUGGACAGCUCUCAGGACAGACACUCACAGCCACAAGCUAGACGAGCAGUCGGCUUCCCCAGGCCUCUGUGAAGACAAGUCAGACUCCCAGCUCCCUGGCUCAGCAGUCAGACCUCCUCCCCCGACAGCUCAGCUCUGCAGCUCUUCCCUCCUGCUCUGCUCAGCACAACUGCUCUCUGUCCCCAGCAGCACCAGACUGAAGGCCUCCCCUCCUGCCUUUUAACUGUCUCCCCACCAAUCGUCUUCCACCAAUUAGGCAGGUGAUUAUAGGCUGCAGGUUGUUCUCCUGGGCCUCGUUGGGGAUAAUCCCAUAUAAAAACCAGACUGUUAAACGAGGGCUGGAGCUUGUUUUGGGUCUCUGGAUUAAUCUUGCUGGAUGUCCUACAGGCUCCUCUGUGUUGGGGCUCAGUUGUUCCUAAAAAAUCAAUAAAAAUAAAAGUGUAAUUAUGUGAA